AUGCCUCGAGGGGUCAGGGAGAGAAGCCAUGGCUUGAGCGAGACCGCGAGCGCAGCGACCGAAAGGCGACAACGGCCAAGAUCCAGUCCUCCGCCUCCGAGUUUGUCCGGCAGCGACCGGAGAGACGGACCGCCCCCUCCCUCCGGUGCUCCGGCUGCAUGCUCCACCCACCAGCGACCGCGACGGCCGUGGUCGUCACCCUCCUCCUUCCCCGAAUCUACCGUCCUCCUCGAAGUUCCUGCCCCUCCGGUGAUGGCAACGGCGACGGUUCCACGAUCAACUUCCACCUACUUCCACCAAGGUGCUCUAAACCUCUGGCAUUAG
rnacentral:rRNA from 1 species